GGGGCCGGGGCCGCUGGAACUGUCACCAGGACCGGGCGGCGGGGACCAGAAGUAACGAGCGGACGGAGCUCUGUGGUUCAGGACCCCCGUGCAGCCUGGACGGAGGGGCUGGGAGGCAGUGGCCGGCGUGGGCGGCGCAGGGAGCCCGAGGAGGACACCGGCUCUUGUUAAUGCACUCGGUCAUUGGAGGCGGGCACGGGCACGGAAAUUGGUUCCCGACACGGAAACCGAGGCCGAGGGCGGUGACGCAAUGCGCCCCGGUCGGACAGCAGUGAGGAGCGACCGGGCAGGCUGGUUCUCACCGGCUCUCACCGACGGUCUUCCCUACAAACGGCAUCUCAGCCCUGAAACAGCCCCGAAGCGCAGCGCUGAGCCAGGAUCCAGGCCUGACCUCCCUGGGUCCUGACCUUGUGAUUUCCAGUAGCUACAGCCCUUGCCUCCUUCCCAUUCCAGGUCAGAACAGUUCUGAAUCUUCCAAACUCCAAAAUAAAAGAAGGCAAAACUAUAAUAAUAAAAGCAUAAUAUGCUAAUUAGACUGGA